UUACCCUACUCGAAAGCUUAACUUAGUGUUAUCUAAAAGACUUAAAGUGUCAUGGCUAAUUUUGACAACGUGAAAAGACCGCGAGAUUUCAAAGCGAGACUUCGUUAGCGUUGAAAACAGAACCUCGAAAGGACAUGCACCAGGAAAAACCCUCCAAAAUGAGAAAAUCUAUUGUGUUUAAAAGCAAGUUGACGGCUCUAUUCGAGCAGUACCCAGUAUGCCUGAGGAGGUGGACCAGCCAGCCACAUGUCAACCUCUUGAACAAGUUCCUGCUGCUAACCAUCAAGCUGCCGCCGCUGUGCUCUCCAUGGGGUCAUCUUUUGUAAGGUCUAAAUGCAACUGGAGAACUGUGGUGAACAGACAACUGUCAAAACAAGUGCGGUGG